rnacentral:rRNA from 1 species
UAAAAGUCGUAACAAGGUCUCCGUUGGUGAACCAGCGGAGGGAUCAUUACCGAGUUUACAACUCCCAAACCCCUGUGAACAUACCACUUGUUGCCUCGGCGGAUCAGCCCGCUCCCGGUAAAACGGGACGGCCCGCCAGAGGACCCCUAAACUCUGUUUCUAUAUGUAACUUCUGAGUAAAACCAUAAAUAAAUCAAAACUUUCAACAACGGAUCUCUUGGUUCUGGCAUCGAUGAAGAACGCAGCAAAAUGCGAUAAGUAAUGUGAAUUGCAGAAUUCAGUGAAUCAUCGAAUCUUUGAACGCACAUUGCGCCCGCCAGUAUUCUGGCGGGCAUGCCUGUUCGAGCGUCAUUUCAACCCUCAAGCACAGCUUGGUGUUGGGACUCGCGUUAAUUCGCGUUCCUCAAAUUGAUUGGCGGUCACGUCGAGCUUCCAUAGCGUAGUAGUAAAACCCUCGUUACUGGUAAUCGUCGCGGCCACGCCGUUAAACCCCAACUUCUGAAUGUUGACCUCGGAUCAGGUAGGAAUACCCGCUGAACUUAAGC